rnacentral:lncRNA from 1 species
CCAGGGUUUCAAUCUUAUGAUGUUAGUUCCACUUAUAUGCCUAUAAGCCCGGCUUGUGUGUCAAGUCAGGCCCUUCACUCACCAAUGUAUGCAGCUCAAGGGUAUUAUCAAAACCAAUAUGGUUAUGGAGAUGUUUCAUCGCCAACCUAUUUAUGGGAAGACAAGUAUGCAUACGGUGUUGCUUCAAGUAACCAACCUUUGAAACAGAAGAUAUCUUCUUCCUCAAGUUAUAACCAUAGCAACUAUUACUCAAAGAGCAAGACAUCUUUCACAAGUCAAGGCAUGGGAGCUCGGCCUAAGAAGUCUGGAGCUUUAAAUAGAGAUGAAACAGAGAAGGCUAAAGCGAGGAACAAAGAUAAUGUUAAUAGUACUGAAGGAGAAUGUGAGUCAUGUGUAGGUUCUGUGAUCAAAAGAGAUCAAUACAACCUCCCUAGCUUUGAGACCAAGUAUGAAGAAGCAAUGUUCUUUGUGAUAAAAUCUUAUAGCGAAGACGACAUUCACAAGAGCAUCAAGUACAGUGUUUGGUCUAGUACUCUCAAUGGGAACAAGAAGCUAGACAGUGCGUAUCAAGAAUCUCUAAAGAAGGUUUCAGAGAAAGGUGGAACGUGCCCUGUCUUCCUUUUCUUCUCGGUAAAUGAAGUAUAUAAUUUUUCAUUUGGUGCUGACAUCUCUUGGUUGGUCUCUGACAUCUCGGUAAAUUUUAUUGAACUGCAGGUGAAUGCAAGUGGCCAGUUUUGCGGUGUAGCUGAGAUGACUGGGAGAGUAGAUUAUGAGAAGAGCAUGGACUUUUGGCAGCAAGAUAAGUGGACUGGCUAUUUUCCGGUCAAGUGGCACAUAAUCAAAGAUGUUCCAAAUCCGCAAUUAAGGCAUGUAAUACUGGAGAACAAUGAGAACAAGCCUGUAACGAAUAGCCGAGACACACAAGAGGUAACAAACAGUCUUUUUAGUGAAUGAUCAAUUGUCACAAGAAACAACUAAUUAAUUCUCAUGCUGUUUAAACAUAUACAUAGGUGAGGUUGCCACAAGGGAGUGAAGUGUUAAACAUAUUCAAGAACUAUGCAGCAAAGACAUCUAUAUUAGAUGAUUUCGACUUUUAUGAAAAUAGAGAGAAGGUUAUGGUUCAGAAGAAGCUAAGGUUCCCUCCAGCUCAGAUAAAGGUCCUCUUUAGAUCUUGUAGUCAUCUUCAUCUUGUUUCUAUGUACUGUUAAUUCUAACUAGCCUCUUUGUCCCUUUACGGUUUUGAUCACAGAAGAAAGAAGAAGAAGAAGAAGAAUUGGUUGCUGAUCUCCAAACAAUGGAGAUAUCAAAGAGCGAGAAACUUACAUGACAGGAACUGUGACGUAACUAAGAGAAGCUGCUGUGUGUUUUGGAUUUUUUCCUUUUAAGUCGCCAUAAAACGGUUCCAUUGGUUCGGAUUGCUUUGAUUUUUAUAACAAGUGAUUAGUUUCUUCUUAUGCUAUGAUGGUGUGUAAGGUUUUAUAAUUUUGUAAUCAUUGGCGAAUAAAAUUUGGUUUAAUAGUGAAAUCUCAAAAAUCGUAGGAUAAGGCUUAGACAUAUAAAGUUUAGAAAAGGCUUAAGACAUGAAAAUGAGUUCUCUACUAUCUCUUCAAGGAGCCUGCAUGGCUAACUCCGAACAAACCUAAAACAGAUCACGGCUGGCUCGGGGGUGGUCCACGUCCACCGCGUGUGGUUCGGCCACCACGAGAAUUCACUCGACCGCCUCCCCGAGUGUUUACAAUGCGACCACGACAUAUAUAAGUUUUACUCAAUUAUUUCUGUAAAUUUUGCUCAAAAUCCAUGGUUCCCCAAACUUUAGACAUUAAAGGUAAAUUGUUUAAAAUUUCUGCCUCAAUUGUUUAAUAUAUGUACCUACCUCGACGUGCAGACCAAUCCUCUAGCUAGAUUCUGUUCAACAAGACAUGAUGGAUUUGAAAACUUCUGCCUCAAUUUUUUUUUGAAAUUACUCUUUUGCGAGAGAAUUCAUUGAUUAAUUGAUCACCAAGUGUGUUCAAAAAAAAAAAAAAAAAAUUGAUCACCAAGUCACCAACGACCAGUGUGCUUUGUAACCAGAGACUAAAUGAGCAUUUAUAGAAAACAAUGAAAGGCCCAUUAUAUCCCUAUGUACGGUCGAAAGUGAUUUGUAACCAUUUCGAUAAAGCGUAACAUGUUUAGCCCAUAGGGUUUUUAUAUAGAGACUCCUCUUUUACACAUGUCCAUGCAAUGUACUACUAGCUACUUGUUUUUCAGAUCACAACUCUAUAUCGAUGGAGUCAACUAAGAUGAAUUCAGCAUAACUAAUAUAUAUUCAUUCGUUAAAUACUUUAUAGACUACAAAAAUGGCCAUUUCUUUAUGCAAUCAUAUAAAACUUGUUAUGCAUACGUAAUCACACAGGAAAUAUUCAAUACACACAAAUAAAUAAAUAAAUCAUAUAAGGUGUGAAGCAGACACGUUUAGGCCACGGCAAAAGACAAAACGUGGCACCUUGUAUUUCUCUUGCGCUCCAUACAUUUAGAUUAUCAUUUCAUAUGAUUUUAUGUAGGGUUAUUUGGCUUCUUAUGCGAUAUUGACAAUUAUUUACUUGCCCCCGAACCAAUAUCUACUUUGGAUAAAUAUAAUACUAAUGGAGUCAGGUAAGGUGAUGCAAAGUUUAAAUAUUAGUUGGAAUCUACUAAAGAGAAGUUAAAAGUUUACUAGAUUUAAUUCUUGUAGUUGUAUAGGAUCAUACUAUUAAACUUACAGACUUGUGGUACCCAACUAUUUUAAAUGAUAACUUUAUGAAUUGGAUGUGGGGGCAGCGUAGAACUAUUGAAUGGAUACAAUUGUAUAAAUAUGAAUGGGUCACUUAACACCUAAUAAUAACACACAAGAUUUAAAAGAAGACUCAGAUUUUGCAAUAAUGGAACCAUAUCAAUGGUAAGAGAUCUCAACCUACCAUCUUUCAUAACAUUUUCAAAGAAGAUCCAAACAACAACUGUGAUUAUGAUUAUAGUAUUGUUAACCUAAUAAUAAUGCAAAAAAAAAAAAAAAUUUGUAUAUCAAAUGCUGAAAUGAAUCAGAUAUAAAGAAUUAUUUAACUUUUAGAGAUUGAUUUCCAAUUAAAGAAAGACUGUGAAAUUAAAUUUCGGAAUUUCCACAAUUAUAGAAGAAAAAAAAACUGUUUAGAAAAACAACUAAUAAAUAUAUGCUUUGGAUAAAAGUACUACUAAAAUGGUGAAAACUCAUGAAUAUGAAUAUAUCAUAUUUUUGAAUGGAAAAAGAAAAGUAUAUUUGUGUUUUUUUCUUAUUUGUGGCAUUGCUCAGAUUGAAGUGAUAUACAUGGAGAAAAAGAGAUAUGGCCAAAUCCAUUGUUUUCAAGUAUCUAAAUUAUAUUCUUCUCCUUUUUUUUUCAAAACCAUAUUCUAUGCUUUCUAUUAUUUGCCUGACCAUGAGAACUGGUCCUAACUUUUAUAUUUUUCCAUAUAAUAUAUAUAUUCCUCUAGAAAAUAGUAGAAAUUAAUUUUUGGUAGCUAAUGCCAAAAUAAGAUUCCUUCUUUAUUAUAACCUUUUGAGGAAGCACACUGAAGAGAGUUGUGUAAGAAUAGGAUCCCAUAUGGAAAAGUUGGCAACAUAAAAGAUGUUAUAAUUUCCCUAGUAUUAGCUUAAUCCAACGGUCAGCUUGUUCACUCAUCUCAUGAUUCCAUGACUUGGGAUAUUUUCCACCCUCCAUCUGUACCUCUUCCAAACCUCUUUUUAUUUAAGAAAUAAACUUUUCUAAUAUUUUCCAACUAAAAUAAAUAAGAAGUGUGCAACAAAUAGAAAGAAAAAAGACCAAAAGGGCAAAAAAAACAUCUCUGUUCUUCUUUCUUCUUGAAUAGCCAUUACUAUUCUUCUUCUCUCUUUAUAUAUCUCAUCAACUCUCUGUUUUUUCUCUGCUCCGUAUAUGUACUUUGUUUUCAGGUAAAAGAGAUUAUCCUUUGCUGCUGUCUUCUUCGUGAUGUAUAAUAUAUUAUAUAUAUCUAUGUGCGUGUUUAUGUGUUUAUUAGUGCUCUGUUUCUUGCUGUUAUACUCAACACUCUUAUCUACAAAAAGAAGAAUAAUAUAUAUAGAUAUGAUUUUGUUCACGCUUAGUUGUUAGUUUUUAUCGGUACGACUAAAUAUUCAGACAUCAGUUCACGUUUCAAACCUGUCUCCUCACUACGAUAUUAUUAAUAAUUGGUCUCUUAGAGAACGUUUGCUGCCUAUAUGUUUCAGCCAUUGACGACAUGGUGAAGAACCUUAAAGUGGAUCCUCUUGCUAAGGCGGUCUCUGCCUCCACCACAUCCAUGGUGAGAUCAAAUUCUCUUCUCUGUUUAUUAAGAUGAUUACGUUUUUCUUUUGGAAUGUUUUUAACAUCAUGUGCUUGUUAUUUUGGCUUAUAUGGUUUAGAAGAGCCGCCAGUCAGAGCCAUAUUAUGGUACCCUUGAGACAUAUCAAGGCCUCCCUUGUCCUUAUGGUGGCUACUAUGGAUUCUACUAUCCAAGUCUUGAUGGUUCAGUUGGAGAAGCAAAGGAUAAUGGAUAUUAUAGUUAUGGAACAGAAGCUCAAUACCCAGUAAUCAAUUCUUUUUUUGUAUAUAAAUAUUUAGAUACUCGAAUAGCUUUUUUUUAUCUGACCAUUUUUCUUGAUCUUGAUUUGAAGGUUAUGCAAGGUGAAAAUGGAUCUUUGGUCUACAUGAUGCCAGGGUUUCAAUCUUAUGAUGUUAGUUCCACUUAUAUGCCUAUAAGCCCGGCUUGUGUGUCAAGUCAGGCCCUUCACUCACCAAUGUAUGCAGCUCAAGGGUAUUAUCAAAACCAAUAUGGUUAUGGAGAUGUUUCAUCGCCAACCUAUUUAUGGGAAGACAAGUAUGCAUACGGUGUUGCUUCAAGUAACCAACCUUUGAAACAGAAGAUAUCUUCUUCCUCAAGUUAUAACCAUAGCAACUAUUACUCAAAGAGCAAGACAUCUUUCACAAGUCAAGGCAUGGGAGCUCGGCCUAAGAAGUCUGGAGCUUUAAAUAGAGAUGAAACAGAGAAGGC